UAAGGGCGCACGGUGGAUGCCUUGGCACUAGAAGCCGAUGAAGGACGUUACUAACGACGAUAUGCUUUGGGGAGCUGUAAGUAAGCUUUGAUCCAGAGAUUUCCGAAUGGGGAAACCCAGCAUGAGUUAUGUCAUGUUAUCGAUAUGUGAAUACAUAGCAUAUCAGAAGGCACACCCGGAGAACUGAAACAUCUUAGUACCCGGAGGAAGAGAAAGAAAAUUCGAUUCCCUUAGUAGCGGCGAGCGAAACGGGAAGAGCCCAAACCAACAAGCUUGCUUGUUGGGGUUGUAGGACACUCUAUACGGAGUUACAAAGGACGACAUUAGACGAAUCAUCUGGAAAGAUGAAUCAAAGAAGGUAAUAAUCCUGUAGUCGAAAAUGUUGUCUCUCUUGAGUGGAUCCUGAGUACGACGGAGCACGUGAAAUUCCGUCGGAAUCUGGGAGGACCAUCUCCUAAGGCUAAAUACUCUCUAGUGACCGAUAGUGAACCAGUACCGUGAGGGAAAGGUGAAAAGCACCCCGGAAGGGGAGUGAAAUAGAACCUGAAACCGUGUGCUUACAAGUAGUCAGAGCCCGUUAAUGGGUGAUGGCGUGCCUUUUGUAGAAUGAACCGGCGAGUUACGAUUUGAUGCAAGGUUAAGCAGUAAAUGUGGAGCCGUAGCGAAAGCGAGUCUGAAUAGGGCGUUUAGUAUUUGGUCGUAGACCCGAAACCAGGUGAUCUACCCUUGGUCAGGUUGAAGUUCAGGUAACACUGAAUGGAGGACCGAACCGACUUACGUUGAAAAGUGAGCGGAUGAACUGAGGGUAGCGGAGAAAUUCCAAUCGAACCUGGAGAUAGCUGGUUCUCUCCGAAAUAGCUUUAGGGCUAGCCUCAAGUGAUGAUUAUUGGAGGUAGAGCACUGUUUGGACGAGGGGCCCCUCUCGGGUUACCGAAUUCAGACAAACUCCGAAUGCCAAUUAAUUUAACUUGGGAGUCAGAACAUGGGUGAUAAGGUCCGUGUUCGAAAGGGAAACAGCCCAGACCACCAGCUAAGGUCCCAAAAUAUAUGUUAAGUGGAAAAGGAUGUGGCGUUGCCCAGACAACUAGGAUGUUGGCUUAGAAGCAGCCAUCAUUUAAAGAGUGCGUAAUAGCUCACUAGUCGAGUGACACUGCGCCGAAAAUGUACCGGGGCUAAACAUAUUACCGAAGCUGUGGAUUGUCCUUUGGACAAUGGUAGGAGAGCGUUCUAAGGGCGUUGAAGCAUGAUCGUAAGGACAUGUGGAGCGCUUAGAAGUGAGAAUGCCGGUGUGAGUAGCGAAAGACGGGUGAGAAUCCCGUCCACCGAUUGACUAAGGUUUCCAGAGGAAGGCUCGUCCGCUCUGGGUUAGUCGGGUCCUAAGCUGAGGCCGACAGGCGUAGGCGAUGGAUAACAGGUUGAUAUUCCUGUACCACCUAUAAUCGUUUUAAUCGAUGGGGGGACGCAGUAGGAUAGGCGAAGCGUGCGAUUGGAUUGCACGUCUAAGCAGUAAGGCUGAGUAUUAGGCAAAUCCGGUACUCGUUAAGGCUGAGCUGUGAUGGGGAGAAGACAUUGUGUCUUCGAGUCGUUGAUUUCACACUGCCGAGAAAAGCCUCUAGAUAGAAAAUAGGUGCCCGUACCGCAAACCGACACAGGUAGUCAAGAUGAGAAUUCUAAGGUGAGCGAGCGAACUCUCGUUAAGGAACUCGGCAAAAUGACCCCGUAACUUCGGGAGAAGGGGUGCUCUUUAGGGUUAACGCCCAGAAGAGCCGCAGUGAAUAGGCCCAAGCGACUGUUUAUCAAAAACACAGGUCUCUGCUAAACCGUAAGGUGAUGUAUAGGGGCUGACGCCUGCCCGGUGCUGGAAGGUUAAGAGGAGUGGUUAGCUUCUGCGAAGCUACGAAUCGAAGCCCCAGUAAACGGCGGCCGUAACUAUAACGGUCCUAAGGUAGCGAAAUUCCUUGUCGGGUAAGUUCCGACCCGCACGAAAGGCGUAACGAUUUGGGCACUGUCUCAACGAGAGACUCGGUGAAAUCAUAGUACCUGUGAAGAUGCAGGUUACCCGCGACAGGACGGAAAGACCCCGUGGAGCUUUACUGUAGCCUGAUAUUGAAAUUCGGCACAGCUUGUACAGGAUAGGUA
rnacentral:rRNA from 1 species